AUUGAACGCUGGCGGCAUGCUUUACACAUGCAAGUCGAACGGCAGCACGGGUGCUUGCACCUGGUGGCGAGUGGCGAACGGGUGAGUAAUGCAUCGGAACGUAUCCAAUAAUGGGGGAUAACGCACCGAAAGGUGUGCUAAUACCGCAUACGCCCUGAGGGGGAAAGUGGGGGACCGUAAGGCCUCACGUUAAUGGAGCGGCCGAUGCCUGAUUAGCUAGUUGGUGAGGUAAAGGCUCACCAAGGCCACGAUCAGUAGCUGGUCUGAGAGGACGACCAGCCACACUGGGACUGAGACACGGCCCAGACUCCUACGGGAGGCAGCAGUGGGGAAUUUUGGACAAUGGGCGCAAGCCUGAUCCAGCCAUGCCGCGUGAGUGAAGAAGGCCUUCGGGUUGUAAAGCUCUUUCGCAAGGAAAGAAAACUUAUCCCCUAAUACGGGAUGAGGAUGACGGUACCUUGAUAAGAAGCACCGGCUAACUACGUGCCAGCCGCCGCCGUAA
rnacentral:rRNA from 1 species